CACUGGGCAGGGGUGCUCAGCCCGGAUUGUGAGAAGGUGAAGGCCAGGCUGAGAAACUCCACUGGUGUAGG
rfam:Myotis lucifugus cont2.16972, whole genome shotgun sequence.